GUUAGGGUUCCGAAGUUGGAGAACAGUUUGGACCUGUCUGGUGAGAUCUUGUAGCUUAGAGCGGGAAUACUUAUGAUAAGUUGAACGGAGGUGGUCGACUAGUUCUUCAACGGAGAGAAAAUCGUCCUUACAUGACUCAAUGUGGCGGCGAAGCUCGCCUGAAACUGGCCCGCUGCCGCUGCGUCCUCUCCUUCCCAUCGUCUUUUCCGGCAGCCGCCGACGCCUACUGCUAAA
rnacentral:lncRNA from 1 species